UUAAAACUUAUUAAAAUAGUCAUAAUUAUGGCUCUAUAGGUCCCUCUUCUGUCUUCACUUUUAUAGGUCCAUUGUCCCAUCUUAUUUUCUGGAGCAGCAAAGGACAUAAUUUGAGAACCACAAUAUGGGUCAGCAAAGUAACCCGAAGAAAGAAGCAUAAUCCACCAUAAUCAGAGCAAGAAAAGAUAAAAUCGAUGAAUACAGGCAUAUCCUCAAUAUAUGAAAUGUUGGGGGCCAUAAAUCUAUACGAUCUUAUUGGAGAAAGUAACAUUGAGCAAACUAAUAUCUUGACUGCAGAUACGAGCUACAUAAUCUUCUGAUGGAGAAGGUUAGCAUGUUGUUUCUGUCUCUGAGAUUGAUUAUUAGUUUUUAUGUAUGGUUCUCUUUCUUACCGUAUGAAAAAUAUUAUUAGAUGAUUAUGGAUGGACGGAAAAUGUGAAAAAAGAAACAUUUAAGACAAAAGUAAAAUACUGAAAAAUUGCAAAGUAUCAUAAUCUAUUUUUAGUUAGAUGU